UUUGAGUUAAGGAUUGCAAUAAAAAUCCUUUUGCUUUUUCUGCAAAAGAUUGAAAUGGAAAGCCUGCCCACGC
rnacentral:sRNA from 1 species